rnacentral:lncRNA from 1 species
UGGCCGUGUUCCAUGUCAACGACGACGUAAUCGUAGCCGGAGUGAGCAGCGAUCUCGGCUAGAGUCGGCGAAAAGGAGAGCAAGAACAUGCCGUAGAGAGUUUCGCCUCCUUGGAGGCGGGAUUUCAAUGAGGUUUUGGAUCGGGUGGCGAUUCCCUCCACGGUGGGAGAAGUGAUGGCGGCGGCGGGGGAGUGAUCAGCGGGAGAUGAAGAGAAUCGGAUUGGAGUUAGGGUUUUCCUGGAAAAUGUAACCGUGGAUCUGACGGAGUUGGAAUUUGAAGGUGAUAGCUUCCCGAUGAUCGGAGAAGAGGAGUUAAAGAGAUGUGUCGAAUCUGUGUUGACUGUGGAGAAGAUUGAAGCGGUGGCCAUGGCGGUGUAUGACCUGGGAAGUAUCGACAAUUUUGCCUUUUGCUUAAUUCAAGUGUUUGGUAGUGAUUACUCGUACUGACCAAAUACCUAGUUAGCUUCAACUGUUUAUCAUCGUUCCCGAGCCAGAUCAAUGAACUUCAUGCUGUUUUCUCUUCGUUCAAAAACGGCACAAUGUGUCACUCGCACCUAAUCAGAUGCCACUAAAAUUAAGGAUAAUUCAAGCUUUUCUUCAAAACAAAGCACUGGUAUCUGAAUAUCUUACUUGAUAUCAACAAAAUUACCUAACGAGAUUAAAAAUAUUAAAAGAAAAAUCCAUCUAGGGUGAUGUCUUGACAAGGAAACUGAAAACAUACAAUCAUGCCUUGUACGAGAAAGAGGAGACUUUCUGCUAUACCAUGAAGCUAUAAGAUUCUUAUCAAACACAACACUGUUGGAUAAGCUUGGAUAAAGCUUGUGAUAUAAGUUUCCUUUUCUUUUAAUGAAGUUGUGUUUAUCUUAAUAGGAUUAGGAAACUUAAUGUUAGUUGAAAUAGGAAUUGAUAAAGUCCUAUAUAUAUGGACGCAUAUUGAUAUGCGAAUGUGUGUGACUUGAGACUUGUGAUUUUGAGCUUUUGAUUGAGUGAAUAAGAGAAGGACUUCUUAUUAAUCUUGUUGUUCUAUAUUUGGUAUCAGAGCAAUCAAAGAUUCUUUGAAAAAAAUUAACAAACGAACAUGGCAGAUGUUAAAGAUGGAAUCGUAUCACCCAAGGAAGCCGGACCAACAACCAUCAAAUACCCUAUGCUCACUACCACAAACUAUACUGUCUGGGCUAUGCGAAUGAAAAUUGCACUCAAGGUUAGCGAAGUUUGGGAAGCAAUAGACCCCGGAACCAAGGACGAGAAGAAGAACAAUAUGGCAACUGCACUUUUGUUUCAAUCGAUACCCGAAGGUUUGAUCAUGCAAGUCGGCGACCUAGACACCGCGAAAGCAAUAUGGGAGGCUAUAAAGGCUAGACAUGUAGGAGCUGAGCGGGUAAAAGAAGCUAGACUUCAAACCCUAAUGACUGAAUUUGAUAGACUCAAGAUGAAAGAUGAAGAUACAAUCGAUGUGUUUGCCGGAAAGCUAUCUGAAAUCUCCUCCAAAUCUGCCUCUUUAGGAGAAACGAUAGAAGAACCAAAGCUGGUACGGGAUCGCGGCAGGUCCGUCGUGUGGCAUGGCGAACCCUGACAAGUAGGCCCCGCCUUUCGCUGGAUCUGACGUCAGCACCGCCUUCUCCGCUCUCCUCAUCAUCUCUCUCACUUUCUUAUGCCCCGGGUCCCACAAGUAUCCUAUGCUCGCGCUCAGAUCCAACGGUCCCAUCUGCACGCAGUCAACACCAUCGACGGCUGCGAUCUCAUCAGCUUUCUUCACUCCUUCGGCUGACUCCACCUGGCACAUGAUGAGUAACUCGUCAGCGUAAUUACCUAAAUACCCUUCGUCGAUUCCGUACUUGGACGCUCGCACCACCGUGUGCGCCGAACCACGGAUCCCGUCGGGAGGAAACCGGCAAUACGACACCGCUUUGGUCGCGUCCUUGCGAGAUUCGAUCAUCGGAAACAUGAUUCCCUGUGGGCCUAGAUCUAAGGCCUUUUUGGCCCAUGUAGGACAGUUCUCCGGUAAGCGAAGAACGGCGGCUACACCGGCGGCGUUAAGAGCUCGGAUGCAGUCUAGAGCUUCCGGUAUGCCGCCGUGGCCGUGUUCCAUGUCAACGACGACGUAAUCGUAGCCGGAGUGAGCAGCGAUCUCGGCUAGAGUCGGCGAAAAGGAGAGCAAGAACAUGCCGUAGAGAGUUUCGCCUCCUUGGAGGCGGGAUUUCAAUGAGGUUUUGGAUCGGGUGGCGAUUCCCUCCACGGUGGGAGAAGUGAUGGCGGCGGCGGGGGAGUGAUCAGCGGGAGAUGAAGAGAAUCGGAUUGGAGUUAGGGUUUUCCUGGAAAAUGUAACCGUGGAUCUGACGGAGUUGGAAUUUGAAGGUGAUAGCUUCCCGAUGAUCGGAGAAGAGGAGUUAAAGAGAUGUGUCGAAUCUGUGUUGACUGUGGAGAAGAUUGAAGCGGUGGCCAUGGCGGUGUAUGACCUGGGAAGUAUCGACAAUUUUGCCUUUUGCUUAAUUCAAGUGUUUGGUA